GUCUUCACACAAAGAAUAAAGCAACUUGCUAGCAAGUUUGAUCUUAGCGCUGUUGCUAGACUAUUUCUUAGCCACAGGCUUUAUGACAGUACUUGACUUUCACCAAGUUGAUAUUGUCAUUCUUAAUAAAAAAACAUAAAAUCAUAUCAGUUAUUUGUCCUAGCAUCUUUAAGUUCUAAUCUACACCAAAAUAAAAUGGUUUUUUUCUUGUUGCAGUUAUUGAACUUAACACAAACUAAUAUGUUUGAUUAAAAUGUAAUCAAUUUUAAUGACUACUAUUCAACGUCCUCCAAAAAGUAUCAUUAUGAUGUAUGGGUUGUUUUAAAUUAAUACAUCGACUCAGUAAAAAUUAAGAAAUCCAAGAAGAAUGAUAGAAAAAGUACUUGUGCUGGAGCAAGAAUAUAAGUUUAGAUCCAGUUUUACCUAAUUUAGAGACAGUGCUAACGCUAAACUCAAACAUACUAGCAGGCUGAGCCUCUUAACCAGGAGGCACUAGCUGCCAGCGAACCACACAUCUUAGCUGUGGUUGUCAAGGAAAACAUUUGACACGCCAGCUUGUUUACUCGUGAUGUUUUAUGCCCUUAACCACAACCCCCUCACAGCUGCUGUUUUUUUUUACAUGCUAUAAAGUUAAAUACUAACCAGAUCAGUUAAAUUAUAUGGUCGGGAUGUAACUCUGUAAACUAGUUGAGUGAGCACAUUUUAUAAAUGGGUUUGAAUCUAACUAACUAGUUUUCUAUAGCUAUUUUUUUUAUAAACUGUCUUCCUAAAUAUCCAUUAAAAUAGAAUUUCUAUAAACUGCUGCACCAAUUUCAGUGGUUAAAUUCAAAACUGCAUGGUCAAUCUACUGUUUAGCUAGUUUAACUAAUGCUAACUUGUGGGGGAAGGAAUCAAGUACUUUCGGUAAGUUUCAGUAACAGGUGGGGGGAGGGUCACUUUUAAGAUUUUCACUGGAAUCACAUCAAAUCACUGCAACAAAAUGUUUUUUAAAAAAACAAAAGGCAAGAUGGAAAACUGUAGCGGUUGAGAUUUAUUCUGAUACAAACAAGACACGGGCCGUUUUUACUUCCUCUUUGUGAUGUUAUCCGUUUAUCCUGCAGUACCUAUUGUAAAUGCAUGUGGAUGUAAUUAUGCACAUUUGGCAAUUACAUCAGUUAGCAACUUUUACCGCAGCUAUUAGCUAUUUUUCCUACUGAGCAGUGUGCCACACUGGGGUUGAAGGCCUGAAGCAGCUACUUAGUUCCCUUAUGCCUUGGGCUGGCUCUGAUUAUGUGCUUAAACCUGUUUAUUGCAUGCCAUAAAAGCUGCAGUAAAAGCUCUGCCUCUGUCCCAGCACUUCCCUUUAAUCAGUUCUUUCUGCUCUGGCGACUUCUGUAAUCUAAAUCCAUGGAUUCCAGCGCAAUAGAUUCUCUCUCUCUUAUCAUCUAACAUCAGGAGAUCCCGGCCUCAUCCAGCAGAUGCCACGCGCACUGGGUGCAGGUCACUUCAGCACAUCAUCUUCCUCAUCUGUCCCCACCUAAUCUCUUCUGUCCUCCUCUUCAAACAUUUGGCAGCAUCCCAAACACACACACACACACGCCCACACACAGAAACACACGCAUGUGCAUCUGGCCGGUCACAUCUGUCUGCUUGCAUCAGCAGCACCGGUCACAUCAGUGUUGUGUGUUUUUCUCCUGAGUGAUGCCCGCACAGCAUCUCCCCAUCGCCGCUCGUCUGCGUGCGUCACAAACACGCAGCGUCCAACAGAAGGCGCAUUAUAGUAAACACAAUGAGUCCGUCUAUUCCCACGACAAUCCCCGCAUCUGUGCAGGAGACACCCGGGCCUGGACUGGUGCGGCUGGGAGGAAGCUGCUGCUGCCGCCGCUGGUCAGGAUGUUUGUUUAGAGGCACUUCUUUAUUACGGCCCUGUCGCUCCGGCUGCCUGACCUUUUGGAGCAGAAGACAGACGGAUGCGGACCGUUUGUUUUAAAGGCUGCAGCCAAGUGUUUCAGCGACAUCUGCUGGCCGAACACAUGAAGUGCAGUUCGAGUUCAGUUCGACGGAUGAGGCGCGCAAACAUGAAAGUAAAUGUGGACAGAAGGCAGCCUGGAGAGGGCCAAGAGCCAAAGCAGAGCAGCUGGCCCCUCACCGACCAGACAAAGGGCCGGGGCCCCUCAGCAGGCUGAAUGCUCUGGAAGACAAAAAAAUGAGGAAAAGGCCAAAAUUGUACAACUUCUCCUCCUGAUAAACAAAGCGUUGCUGCUGUUUGAUGUGUUUUCCCCCAUAAUAGCAAAGGAGAAACCGGAUGAGUUUUUUUUCAUGUAUGAAAAAUGAUAAAUAACUAAAUGAUUAAAUAGGAACAGCUAUGUUAGUUAAGUAGAAAAUUCUGACUUUAAAGAAAAUUGCAGCAUUUGUCACUUUUUCUUCAGCUUUUCCUUCAUUAGACUCAGCAGCCUGGAAAUGUUGAAAUUAGCCUUGAUCAACAUCAACAUGGAUUAUUCUAGCAAACCAUAACAAGUCAUGUGUAGCUGGAAGCUUCACAGUGUAAAUUCAUGCCACACUUUUCAAAUUAGUAAAACAUUUUGAAAUGCAGAAUCUCUUGUAAAAGCAGAAUCAACCAAUUAUUUUGUAAAUAGAAAUGAAGAUACUUUUCUGUUUAAAGUUUCCUUUUUGUUGUUUCUAUUUACUAUUUACUAUUUACUGUGCUGCACUUUGAGGGUUUAUUCUCUAUAAGCCAUAAUCGUCAAAAUGACAAGAAAUACAAGAGGCUUGGAAUAGUUUCAUUUAUAGCUAAUAAAUCUAUUUAAUAUGAAUUUCUCUUUCUGAAAUGAGUGACAAAAAUGUUUACACUUUUCCCUGACAUUAUUAUUUUUAAUGCGCCAGCAUUAUUUCCCUCGGACUUGACAAUUAUUUAUCACCUUUUUCCAUUUUUAUCAUCUGUCACAUUAAACCCUGUAAAUAAAACACACAGAGGUUUGUGGUCGACAGACAUGACAGAAAUGUGAACGAAAAAAAGAUUUAUUUCUUUGACUUCACACUGUCUUCGUUGACAACAUGCAGAUUCUUCCAUCGUUCCGUCUUUAGUUCCAGAGUUAGAAUCACCGUCAUAACAUUCAUUAUGCUUUUAACUUUAAUGCUUUUAGUUGAACACAGGCAGGAAAUGGACUGUACAUGUUAAUCGGUGUAAUAAUGUUGACAUGAAAAUCAUCGGAUUCGAAUUUAUACAACAAAUUUCUGUUUGUUUUUUGGGUUUUUUAUUUUGUUAAUUCUUCAUACGCUCCCAAAUUUGUUAAAUUGGCAUUUUAAUAUGAAAGCAGAAUUGUUCGUAAUAAAAAUGCACCAGCAGAGACUCACAGGCUGCCCUGGUACAACAUCUCAUGUGGGCAUUUUGAUAUAAUUAUUAUGUUUCAGUGUUUUAUUUAACCGCUUAGAAGCUGCUGUAAUCAAAUGUGGCCAGCGGAGGGCAGCACAGCGAGGUUUUUCCCCAAGUGGUGAAGAAAUUGGACUGAUUUCACUUUUUAUCUUCACAGUUUGACUUUAAGGAGGCAGUAUUUUGUGUUUUCCAGCACACAGCAUCAUUUAUGGCACAAGCAAGUAACUAUGUUAUAAAAAUGCUGUAUAAAUCAACUAUGAUUUAAAAGAAAUGUAACUUUGUAACUUAAUGCCUUGAAUUUCUGCCUUUGUCUCUUUAAAAACUCCAGCUCUUUCUGAAACCCUGCCUUCAGGAAGGCCUGAUGCGCCGCCACUAAAACCACUGGAACUGUUCGCUCUGAAGCUUCCCCUCUCCAACCUGUUGCUGAACCACCCAGCCUACAUCCAUCCCUGUGCUUUGUUUAGGACGGUAACACGUGUGGUGGUGAGAGCUGCGGUGGAGCCAGCAGGGGAAGAGGAGAAUCAGUGGUGCUUUUGUAAAACCUGAGACCAGUUUCUGCUGUUAAGUCGGCUUUUCCGGUUGGAUGGGAACGGUUUCCUUCACUCCGCUUUCAGUUUCUGUUCAGAUGUCAGGGGGGGAGCAGGAAUGUGACUCCCUCCUCUGUCCGUCUGUCCAUAUUUAUCCAGCAUUUUCCAUACACAAUAAGCUCCACAUGAAGUGAUUUACAUUAGAUAAGAUCAGGAAGCAACUGGAACAAACACCAGUAACAAAAAGAGAAAAAAACAAACAACUACUGAGCUGAACAGGAGAACCAGAAACAUGCAUUUAACAAACUAUUGGAAUUAAACUGCACUCAGAAUGACGAGGAGAAAAAUUUAAAAUUAGUAAAAACUAAAAUCACAAGUAUAAUAAAUGAAUAAAAAUGUAAAUAUUUGCAUUUAAUUUUGACUAAUUUGCUUUAAAAAUUACACACGGGCACAAAAUACAGUAGCUACAAUUAUUUUUUUGAAGUGCCAUAAAACUACAGCUAUAACAAACAUAUGGUUUAAAUGGGACUAAAUAAUCCUAAGACCUAAAAGUCAAACAAACUCAGCACAUUUUCAAAAACAUCCGAGUUCUGUGCUGCUUCAGGUCAGGAAGUCUGUAGUAACACCUGAGGAAACUGGAUGGAACAGUUUAUUACCAAGUUAUAACAUAGUAAUAAAAUGUAGUUUUAUUGAGGUAGGAAACCCAAACAUAAUAAGAUCGUUGAUUUUUCUCAAAGGGUUAAUUCAGAGUUUAGAGUUUUAUGGUGUCAGACAUUGUAAAGUGGGCUAACUAAGCUAGCGCUAGCUAAAUGACAGAGGCCUGGCAUGUAACUCCUGUCCAGUCCACGCAUUGAGUUAGUUUUUAAUCAGCAAUGUACAAAAAUAGACACUAGGAGGAGCUAGAGCACCGGACAUUUCUCCACUGGACAGUAAAGUGCCCUUCUGAAAUUUCUUUUUUUUGUUUUUUUAGCAGAAGUGCCAAAGUGUAGAAUUUCUGGACCUAAAAGCCAAACUCUCAUGUGCCCUACGACUUUGGAAAGAUCUGACCGUUUUCCAAAAUCAACAGCAUAAAGAGAAGGUGGCAAACAAAUCCAGUGUUCAGCAUGAACUUCACUGAGCGCUGCGGAUGAAAGUGAAAAACAAACUGCGUUAUAAAAACGUGUAACUUAAUCCGAUUUCAUCUGAUUAGGUACUUAAAAUGUUUUAGAUUCCCCCGACUAUCGACAGAAUCAUAUUUCAAUUCAAACACUUUUUUAGCAUCAUACGAGUCAUGUGAUCAAACAAGAUAUCACUACUGUUGGAAAAGACGACAGGAAGUGGCAGGAGGCCGAUGAUGUUUUUUUGACUUAUGUUAAACUUAUUCACAAGAUUGUAACUGAACUUCUUGUUGAAAGGAAAAACUGCAAUCGCAAUUGUGUUUUAUGGACCUUAGCAGAAUAUAAAAGUUUUGCACACAUAAUGGAAACGCAGCUACCAUAUAUUAAAAAAAGAAUAAACCAGCAGACAGAAAUUGUUGAAAGUCUUUUAUUUCACCCAAACACGACAUGAUUAUGGAUUUAUGCUUCCGUCAGAUUAGCCGACACCGGAUCAGCGGAGACACUCCGACAUUCAUCGAGUGUUUUAUGAUCCCAAACACUUCCGAACGCAUCUCUGCGAGGUUCUACAGGCAUAACGAGAGCUGCGGGUUCGGUUCCGCUCGAGAUUUCAGAUCCAAGGAAA